rnacentral:rRNA from 1 species
UACGUAGGGGGCAAGCGUUGUCCGGAUUCAUUGGGCGUAAAGAGCGUGUAGGCGGCCAGGUAGGUCGGUUGUGAAAGCCCCCGGCUCAACUGGGGAGGGUCAUUCGAUACUGAUCGACUCGAAGGCAGGAGAGGGUAGUGGAAUUCCCGGUGUAGUGGUGAAAUGCGUAGAUAUUCGGAGGAACACCAGUGGCGAAGGCGGCUCACUGGCUCGGUACUGACGCUGAGGUGCGAAAGCUAGGGUAGCAAACGGG